GACGUCACCGGAAGUCCCUGAGCUUCAGGUUGGCUGACUCCGAAAUUCCGUCGUUGGUGUGAGUUAACGAACAGGCGAAACAACUCGGAAUCACAGCCAUCAACGUGUGUGGAGUGUUUGUGGUGGCCGGCCAAGACUGGGAUGGAAUGAUCAAGCCUAGAGGAUGUGGCCAGAAUUUUUCGCCCAUCUCUAAUAUCCCUGGAGAAGAUGAUGCACUACUUGAUGUCUGCCUGACGAGCAGAUCCCUACCUCAAAUCAGAAGCUGAACUGAAAAUGAAACUGAAACCGAAAGGGCAAAACAAAAAGAUAUACCUAGAAACGAAAUGGAGACUACCCAUUUCUCAGCAAACCAAAAAACAAGCUGAGUUUGGGAAAUCACACCCUUGUUGAAAGAUAUAAAGUGAUGAAGAUUAUUCCAAAAUGAGCCACAGCAAUUACUAUAAUUGCAGUACAAGCAAACUGAGGAAGAUUAAAGCAGACAGUACUGAUACAGAUGCUAAGAAUAAAUCUCAGUGCUUUCUGUUACUGGAAGAUAACAUUGGGUCUACGGAAUCCAACUCAAGUUGAACAUGUUCUGUAGAUACAUUCCAUUUGUAGUGAAGACCGAGUCAAUGGACCGUGGGUUGGUUUUUCACCACUUGUCGGUUGGAGAUAGAAUUAACUCCUAGAAGGAGAGGAGCUGAAAUUCCUUCUGAGGAAGACAGAUUUUGAAGAAUUUUGUGAUUCACUAUGAUCACUAAGAUCUGACUGGACUGCACAGCCAAUUCAUAAGAUUCAUUGUAUCUGCCAA